rnacentral:misc_RNA from 1 species
GAUGAAGAACGUAGCGAAAUGCGAAAAGUAAUGUGAAUUGCAGAAUUCAGUGAACCAUCGAAUCUUUGAACGCACAUUGCGCCCGCUGGAACUCCGGCGGGCACGCCUGUCCGAGCGUCAUUUCAACCCUCAGGCCCCCCUUCGCGGGCGGGCCUGGUGUUGGGGCCCGGCCGCUACCCUGCGGCCGUCCCCUAAAUUCAGUGGCGGCCUCGCCGUGAUCCCUUGCGUAGUAAUGCACCUCGCACCGGAGAGCGCCGUGGCCACGCCGUAAAACCCCCAAUUUUCAAUGGUUGACCUCGUAUCAGGUGGGAAUACCCGCUGAACUUAAGCAUAUCAAUAAGCGGAGGA